CCGGCGUUCAUGAAGGCCUGGCCUUAAAGCAGACUCUGCGGGGCCUGGCCGGAUGUCUCCCGCCUC
rfam:Gasterosteus aculeatus cont1.010778, whole genome shotgun sequence.